rnacentral:rRNA from 1 species
UACGAAGGGGGCUAGCGUUGCUCGGAUUUACUGGGCGUAAAGGGCGCGUAGGCGGAUCAGCAAGUUGGGGGUGAAAGCCCGGGGCUCAACCUCGGAACUGCCUUCAAAACUGUUGGACUUGAGUAUGAGAGAGGUGUGUGGAACUCCGGGUGUAGAGGUGAAAUUCAUAGAUAUUCGGAAGAACACCAGUGGCGAAGGCGACACACUGGCUCAUUACUGACGCUGAGGCGCGAAAGCGUGGGGAGCAAACAGG